rnacentral:rRNA from 1 species
GACGAACCACACAAACGUUAUUCGGAAUUACUGGGCUUAAAGGGUGCGUAGGCUGCGCAGAAAGUUGGGUGUGAAAUCCCUCGGCUCAACCGAGGAACUGCGUCCAAAACUACUGUGCUCGAGGGAGACAGAGGUGAGCGGAACUUAGGGUGGAGCGGUGAAAUGCGUUGAUAUCCUAAGGAACACCCGUGGCGAAAGCGGCUCACUGGGUCUCUUCUGACGCUGAGGCACGAAAGCUAGGGUAGCGAACAGG